rfam:Microscilla marina ATCC 23134 1099589004123, whole genome shotgun sequence.
UCCUCCUUAGCUCAGUUGGUUAGAGCAUCUGACUGUUAAUCAGAGGGUCGUUGGUUCGAGUCCAACAGGAGGAG